rnacentral:rRNA from 1 species
UUAAGCGACUAAGCGUACACGGUGGAUGCCCUGGCAGUCAGAGGCGAUGAAGGACGUGCUAAUCUGCGAAAAGCGUCGGUAAGGUGAUAUGAACCGUUAUAACCGGCGAUGUCCGAAUGGGGAAACCCAGUGUGAUUCGUCACACUAUCGUUAACUGAAUACAUAGGUUAACGAGGCGAACCGGGGGAACUGAAACAUCUAAGUACCCCGAGGAAAAGAAAUCAACCGAGAUUCCCCCAGUAGCGGCGAGCGAACGGGGAGCAGCCCAGAGUCUGAAUCAGCUUGUGUGUUAGUGGAACGGUCUGGAAAGUCCGACGGUACAGGGUGAUAGUCCCGUACACCAAAAUGCACAGGCUGUGAACUCGAAGAGUAGGGCGGGACACGUGGUAUCCUGUCUGAAUAUGGGGGGACCAUCCUCCAAGGCUAAAUACUCCUGACUGACCGAUAGUGAACCAGUACCGUGAGGGAAAGGCGAAAAGAACCCCGGCGAGGGGAGUGAAAAAGAACCUGAAACCGUGUACGUACAAGCAGUGGGAGCACCUUCGGGUGUGACUGCGUACCUUUUGUAUAAUGGGUCAGCGACUUAUAUUCUGUAGCAAGGUUAACCGUAUAGGGGAGCCGCAGGGAAACCGAGUCUUAACUGGGCGUUAAGUUGCAGGGUAUAGACCCGAAACCCGGUGAUCUAGCCAUGGGCAGGUUGAAGGUUGGGUAACACUAACUGGAGGACCGAACCGACUAAUGUUGAAAAAUUAGCGGAUGACUUGUGGCUGGGGGUGAAAGGCCAAUCAAACCGGGAGAUAGCUGGUUCUCCCCGAAAGCUAUUUAGGUAGCGCCUCGUGAAUUCAUCUUCGGGGGUAGAGCACUGUUUCGGCUAGGGGGUCAUCCCGACUUACCAACCCGAUGCAAACUACGAAUACCGAAGAAUGUUAUCACGGGAGACACACGGCGGGUGCUAACGUCCGUCGUGAAGAGGGAAACAACCCAGACCGCCAGCUAAGGUCCCAAAGUCAUGGUUAAGUGGGAAACGAUGUGGGAAGGCACAGACAGCCAGGAUGUUGGCUUAGAAGCAGCCAUCAUUUAAAGAAAGCGUAAUAGCUCACUGGUCGAGUCGGCCUGCGCGGAAGAUGUAACGGGGCUAAACCAUGCACCGAAGCUGCGGCAGCGACACUAUGUGUUGUUGGGUAGGGGAGCGUUCUGUAAGCCUGCGAAGGUGACCUGUGAGGGUUGCUGGAGGUAUCAGAAGUGCGAAUGCUGACAUAAGUAACGAUAAAGCGGGUGAAAAGCCCGCUCGCCGGAAGACCAAGGGUUCCUGUCCAACGUUAAUCGGGGCAGGGUGAGUCGACCCCUAAGGCGAGGCCGAAAGGCGUAGUCGAUGGGAAACAGGUUAAUAUUCCUGUACUUGGUGUUACUGCGAAGGGGGGACGGAGAAGGCUAUGUUAGCCGGGCGACGGUUGUCCCGGUUUAAGCAUGUAGGCUGGUUAUCCAGGCAAAUCCGGAUAAUCAAGGCUGAGGUGUGAUGACGAGGCACUACGGUGCUGAAGUAACAAAUGCCCUGCUUCCAGGAAAAGCCUCUAAGCAUCAGGUAACAUUAAAUCGUACCCCAAACCGACACAGGUGGUCAGGUAGAGAAUACCAAGGCGCUUGAGAGAACUCGGGUGAAGGAACUAGGCAAAAUGGUGCCGUAACUUCGGGAGAAGGCACGCUGGUGUGUAGGUGAAGUCCCUGCGGAUGGAGCUGAGACCAGUCGAAGAUACCAGCUGGCUGCAACUGUUUAUUAAAAACACAGCACUGUGCAAACACGAAAGUGGACGUAUACGGUGUGACGCCUGCCCGGUGCCGGAAGGUUAAUUGAUGGGGUUAUCCGUAAGGAGAAGCUCUUGAUCGAAGCCCCGGUAAACGGCGGCCGUAACUAUAACGGUCCUAAGGUAGCGAAAUUCCUUGUCGGGUAAGUUCCGACCUGCACGAAUGGCGUAAUGAUGGCCAGGCUGUCUCCACCCGAGACUCAGUGAAAUUGAACUCGCUGUGAAGAUGCAGUGUACCCGCGGCAAGACGGAAAGACCCCGUGAACCUUUACUAUAGCUUGACACUGAACAUUGAGCCUUGAUGUGUAGGAUAGGUGGGAGGCUUUGAAGCGUGGACGCCAGUCUGCGUGGAGCCAACCUUGAAAUACCACCCUUUAAUGUUUGAUGUUCUAACGUUGGCCCCUUAUCGGGGUUGCGGACAGUGUCUGGUGGGUAGUUUGACUGGGGCGGUCUCCUCCCAAAGCGUAACGGAGGAGCACGAAGGUUAGCUAAUCCUGGUCGGACAUCAGGAGGUUAGUGCAAUGGCAUAAGCUAGCUUGACUGCGAGCGUGACGGCGCGAGCAGGUGCGAAAGCAGGUCAUAGUGAUCCGGUGGUUCUGAAUGGAAGGGCCAUCGCUCAACGGAUAAAAGGUACUCCGGGGAUAACAGGCUGAUACCGCCCAAGAGUUCAUAUCGACGGCGGUGUUUGGCACCUCGAUGUCGGCUCAUCACAUCCUGGGGCUGAAGUAGGUCCCAAGGGUAUGGCUGUUCGCCAUUUAAAGUGGUACGCGAGCUGGGUUUAGAACGUCGUGAGACAGUUCGGUCCCUAUCUGCCGUGGGCGCUGGAGAAUUGAGGGGGGCUGCUCCUAGUACGAGAGGACCGGAGUGGACGCAUCACUGGUGUUCGGGUUGUCAUGCCAAUGGCACUGCCCGGUAGCUAAAUGCGGAAGAGAUAAGUGCUGAAAGCAUCUAAGCACGAAACUUGCCCCGAGAUGAGUUCUCCCUGAGACUUUAAGUCUCCUGAAGGAACGUUAAAGACGAUGACGUUGAUAGGCCGGGUGUGUAAGCGCAGCGAUGCGUUGAGCUAACCGGUACUAAUGAACCGUGAGGCUUAACCUU